rnacentral:rRNA from 1 species
UACAGAGGUCUCAAGCGUUGUUCGGAUUCAUUGGGCGUAAAGGGUGCGUAGGCGGCGCGGUAAGUCGGGUGUGAAAUCUUGGAGCUUAACUCCGAAACUGCAUUCGAUACUGCCGUGCUUGAGGACUGGAGAGGAGACUGGAAUUCCUGGUGUAGCGGUGAAAUGCGCAGAUAUCAGGAGGAACACCGGUGGCGAAGGCGGCGUUCUGGACUGCAACUGACACUGAGGAACGAAAGCCAGGGGAGCAAACGGG